rnacentral:rRNA from 1 species
AUUGAACGCUGGCGGCAGGCCUAACACAUGCAAGUCGAACGAGUGGCGGACGGGUGUGUAAUGUCUGGGAACAUGCCCGAUGGAGGGGGGUAACUAAUUGAAACGGUAGAUAAUACCGCAUACCAUCGGAUGUGCCCAGCUGGGAGUAGCUAUUAUGUGGGGUAACGGCUCACCUAGGCGACGAACCCUAGCUGGUCUGAGAGGAUGACCAGCCACAUGGGAACUGAAACAUGGUGCAGACUCCGACGGGAGGCAGCAUUGGGGAAUAAAGCAGAAUGGGCGCAAUCCUGAUGCAACCAUGCCGCGUGGAUGAAGAGUGCCUUCGGGUUGUAAAGUACUUUCAGCGAGGAAGCGUUACUCGCAGAAGAAGCACCGGCUAACUCCGUGCCAGCAGCCGCGGUAAUAC